UAAGGUGUUCUUAGAGAACGAAACAACAAACAAAAUAUUUCCCUCCUGAAACUCCUCUCUCCCCGUAAUUUCUUCGUGUAUGUUUGGCCCAAGCGACUGUAAAUCACAUCUUUUUGUUCCAUUCUUUUAGAUCGAUCACCAGCUAAACCACACUGGAGCCUCAAUUCUGGAUCGAAAUCAGAUUAGUUAUCAUGGCAGUGUAACUUCCAAGUGGUUUAUUAUGAUAGUUGAGAGUGACGAGUGCGUGCAAGAGAGGAAAGUUAUCUCAGUGAAACAAUGAGCGAAGGACCAAAGCUUUACACCAACAAACACAAGAAAGCACAGCUGAAGCGAUGCCAAGUUCUACAGCUAGGUAAGGUUUCACUUCACCAUCACCAUCUAUGGCAUCUUCUGCGCAAUCAUCAACGGCAGCAUCAAACCUGAGGGGGUCUGCACCUCUGCCACCACCUCAGGUCCUCAGCCUCCAAAGCAAUCUUUUGCCCGCCAUUAUAAGUUCCAUUGGCCCAUUCUUUUGACUGUCAAUAUUGCUGUUGGAGGUUACCUAUUCACGAGAACCAAGAAGAAAGAACUAGCAGUGUUGAGGAAGAAGUUCCAAAAGAUGUUCCUUCAAAUCCAGCUGCUACGCCGACAAGGGUGCGAACCAAUACCGGAGGAUAAACAGCGUGAACUUUUCAAGUGGACGUUGGAGGAGAAGAGGAAGGUUAAACCAAAGGAUCCUGCAAAAAAGAAACUUAUUGAUGAAGAGGAAACAACUCUCAAACAAUUUAUUCACGCCAAGGCCAUUCCAAGUAUCUGGUAACACUUCCCAAAGGAAUUCUGUUUGAUUCUCUUUAAAUCUUCAGGUACCGUUGAUUGCAUUUCAGUUUUUUAAACAUUAACAUUACUGCUUUUUAAUUAUGAAUGCUCUCUUUGGAAUUUGGCAAGGAAAUAUAGCGCUUGAGUCGUUGGAAUCUGUUAGCUGCUAAUCGUAUAGUGAUUUGAAAUUUUUACGUUGCUAACUGACAGGUGUUUUUGGUUACUCCAUGUCGAAGUAGCACAAUGAUGCAGACUUAAACCAUGUGAGGUAGGUGUUACCCUUAGAUUUGUUGGUUCAUAUAUUUUAAGAUUCUGUUGACCCAUGUUUUCAGGCUAGUGAUAAAUGCUCCUAUUUGUUUUUUUUUUUUUACUUAUUUUAAUUGUUCGAUGGGGAUGGGCUGAUGAGUAGCUUGACCUCUUGAACUGGUGCUACCCCAGUUGGAAGCAAAAUCUAAUCUAAGUUCGAGACUUGUAGCCU